rnacentral:rRNA from 1 species
GACGAACGCUGGCGGCGUGCUUAACACAUGCAAGUCGAACGGAAAGGCCCUGCUUUUGUGGGGUGCUCGAGUGGCGAACGGGUGAGUAACACGUGAGUAACCUGCCCUUGACUUUGGGAUAACUUCAGGAAACUGGGGCUAAUACCGGAUAGGAGCUCCUGCUGCAUGGUGGGGGUUGGAAAGUUUCGGCGGUUGGGGAUGGACUCGCGGCUUAUCAGCUUGUUGGUGGGGUAGUGGCUUACCAAGGCUUUGACGGGUAGCCGGCCUGAGAGGGUGACCGGGCACAAUGGGACUGAGAUACGGCCCAGACUCCUACGGGAGGCAGCAGUGGGGAAUAUUGCACAAUGGGCGGAAGCCUGAUGCAGAAACGCAGCGAGCGGGAUGACGGCCUUCGGGUUGUAAACCGCUUUAGCCUGUGACGAAGCGUGAGUGACGGUAAUGGGUAAAGAAGCACCGGCUAACUACGUG